rnacentral:lncRNA from 1 species
UAGAAAUGCUGCUCUUAUCUGGUCCUGGUAUAUGUAAAGCCUGAAUGUGGCUCAUUGUGUUCUCUAUCAGGACGCAUAUCAGAAGCUUGGCUGUGGAUUCAAUAUUAGCUAAUUAAUGAAAGCAAGGGAUAUGUCCCCACACUGUAGGGUGUUUCUGUACAGCUCCCAGCAUCCCAGUCAUUUCUUGAGCUCUUGACUAUCCCAGAUUUGUGUUUGCCUGGACGUUUGCAGGUUGGGCUGUCAGUCUGGAUCCCAUGCUGCCAGCUCACUAUGAGUCACACUGACCCAAGCAUCCAUUUGUCCGAUUACUGUUUUUCUUUACUACCAUCAGAUCAGCAGUUUCAUUUCUGAAAAAGAACCUCCCCAACCAUUUUGAAAACCCACUUUGGAAAGCAGAAAUCAAAACAUGUGUGCAGUGCCCAGAUUUGUUCUUCCCAUUGCUGCUGUGCUGCAGACCACUCGCAAUCCAGUGCCAAGGAGGAGAGGCAAACAUCCCAUACACUGCAACACAUGGCUCAGCUCACGUGGCUGGGGCAUAGACCAUACAAGUAGCCCAUGGAUGUCCAGCCUUUUGGCUUGCCUGAGCCACAGUUGCAGAAGUGCCCUCUGCCCAAUUGCAAAGCCCGUGAGAGCUGCAGGAUCUGAGUGUGGAUGAGUCAUGCAGACAGCACAAGUGCAACCAAUGGAGCCAGAUCAGACCGCUGACAAGAGAAGGUGCCUGAGGAGUGCAAUGGAACGGGGGUAAGAGUUACUGUUGUUCCUACACCAGCGCCAGAAGGGUGAAAAAUAAGGUAGUGAAAAAUCAGAUGUAUGGUAUCAAAAACCACUAUGAUGUCAAAAAGCACCAUGGUAUCAAAAAGCACCAUGAUGUAGCUGACUUCCAUAACCUGAUAGAAAGAGGAGUCAGUGGGUGCAGCAUUGUCAAAGAGGGGUUGAAAGGGAAAGCAGAGCAGAGGUACAGAUGGAGGUGACAAUGUGUGCAAGAUAUUGUUUGAUGUGUAACAGCGUCGAAUAUGAUGGAGAAAGGGACAUUUUGGGAGUCAUUUUGGCUGGAAAUCUCAGAUUUUAUUACUAAAAAUGUAGCAGUAAAUGAUACUUGGAAGUGUGGCUGCCCCUGAUCAGCACUGUGAUAAUGAUCAGGAGAUGGCUGGUGAGAUGAGAGGAGCUGCAUGUUUAGCACAGGUAGUAACACAGGGUGAUUUCCACUCCUUGUAGAAACUGAGCCAGAGAUGGGAUGCACAGACAGCUACUGUGCACAACAAAUGGUGCUUAUAGCCCUCAGAGGAUGCCAUUUUGGCCCUUAACUAUGAAUGGAACCUUUUCUACAGGUCAUUAGUGGGAGAGAUGCUCUGCAAUAUAACCACAGCACAAUUAAUUUUAGGCUGUAUAAACCCAGCAUGUGGCUAUUCAAUUUUACAAAAGAGAGGUAUGUAAAAAUAGUGGAAAUUGUCAAAAUAAACCUGGAAGUGUUAACA